GAUAAACGCUGGCGGCGUGCCUAACACAUGCAAGUCGAACGCCCUGGAGCAAUUCAGGGAGUGGCGGACGGGUGAGGAACACGUGGGUGAUCUGCCUUGAGGUGAGGAAUACCGGCGAGAAAUCGCCGACAAUACCGCAUAGGUUCGUAAGAACAAAGUCGCAAGACGCCUUGAGAUGAGCCUGCGUCCGAUUAGCCAGUUGGUGGGGUAAUGGCCUACCAAAGCAGCGAUCGGUAGCUGGUCUGAGAGGACGAUCAGCCACACUGGGAUUGAGAACGGCCC
rnacentral:rRNA from 1 species